rnacentral:ncRNA from 1 species
UAACGUUCUCAGGGCGGGGUGUGAUUCCCCACCGGCGGUAAUGGCCUCUAGCGCCUAGCCCGCGAGCGCUUGCAGCGGUUAUGUGAAUAGCUGGGGCAAGGUCAGCAGACCCGGUGUGAUUCCGGGGCCGACGGUUAAAGUCCGGAUAAAGAGAGAGCGGGA